GGAUCCUCUCCAUUCCAAUAUGAAAUGGAGAGUGUCCAGUUAAAGGCUAAGAUUGAUUUAAAAUCAAUCUAUGACCUAAAAUCAGCCACGCCAUUUAAAAUACACGUAACAGAGCAAUGAGCUACUUAACAUUAGUUUUCAACGUUUCUUCUCACUUUCUUUGUCUCUCUCAUUCUUUUGUCUCUUCUCACUUUCUCUGUCUCUCUCAUCAAAACUCCAUGGCUCCUCUCUCUCACCUCAACCGAGUUUCUCCCUCACUCUUCCUAGUGCUCCACUCUCUCAACCCCGACUGCGCCUCCACCUGUCUCUCCACCUCCACGCUUGCUCUCUGCCUCUCCCUCAACCUCGUUGCUUCCCGCAUUCCCAACUCAAACCCAUAAGCAAAAACAAAGAAAAAACAGUAUUUAGUAACUCACUAGCUGAGAUCCCGACCCCACACACUCGCACUCUUUUUAGACCCAGAUCAGAGAGAGAGUAAGGGUUGGGGUUUGGAGAGAAUCGGGUGUUUAAGUGAGAAUUUGAUGCUUUUCAGACCCAGAUGGGUUAGGGUUUGGAUAGAAACGGGUAAGAGAGAAGUUGAUGCUCAAUCUCCAUGGUUACAGCUAGCAGCCACCGUGUUCUGCUCCACCAAUUCCGGUGGUGGCUCUGGUUGAAUGGCAUGAUUAUAGGUAUGCUAUUCUUCUUUUGAUCACUGAGAGCGAGAAAAGGCGAGUGCUGGAGGGAUUUGUGAAGACCAUGAAGCUGGCUUUGUUCACGAUUUCAUUUUUUUUUUUUUGGGAGAAAUUGUUCAUGAAAUUUUAGAUAUAAAGAACAUGACUCGUAUCUAUUUUAGUUGGGAUCAAAAUCAAGAUGUAGCUAUUUUGGUUUUCUUGAAACACUGAAAUCACAUAUUUAUAUUGUAAAGCUAAUUUAGCUAAGCUAUAAAGCCUUUUUGUUUUGGGUUUUGUUCA